rnacentral:rRNA from 1 species
GAUGAACGCUAGCGGGAGGCUUAACACAUGCAAGCCGAGGGGUAUAGUUCUUUCGGGACCUAGAGACCGGCGCACGGGUGCGUAACGCGUAUGCAACUUGCCCUACUGAAAAGGAUAGCCCUUCGAAAGGAGGAUUAAUACUUUAUAACAGAUUUAAUGGCAUCAUUAGAUUUUGAAAGAUUUAUCGCAGUAGGAUAGGCAUGCGUAAGAUUAGUUAGUUGGUGAGGUAACGGCUCACCAAGACGAUGAUCUUUAGGGGGCCUGAGAGGGUGAACCCCCACACUGGUACUGAGACACGGACCAGACUCCUACGGGAGGCAGCAGUGAGGAAUAUUGGACAAUGGGUGGAAGCCUGAUCCAGCCAUCCCGCGUGUAGGAUGACGGCCUUAUGGGUUGUAAACUACUUUUAUCUGGGGAUAAACCUACUUACGUGUAAGUAGCUGAAGGUACCAGAAGAAUAAGCACCGGCUAACUCCGUG